CAACUAUAGAAAAUGAAGGCACAGAAAUUUUAAUUGCAUCCCACAGAGCGCAGAAACUAGAAAGAUCUUUGUGCCGGCAAAGCACAGAUCAAUCAAAUUUCAAACAUAACAUUACAAAUUGAGUCAUUUCAAGCUACCCUUCUCUCUCUUGUUGGCAAGGAGCUAGGAUCGAUGGUCCUCCUAAGUUACUUCAUCUCUUAAAAAUGGAAGGAGAAAAA
rnacentral:lncRNA from 1 species